CGCGUAGGCGGAAGUGAAAGUCAGAUGUGAAAGCCCGAAGCUCAACUUCGGAACUGCAUCCGAAACUUCAUUUCUCGAGGGUAGACGGAGAAGACGGAAUUCCACGAGUAGCGGUGAGAUGCGUAGAUACGUGGAAGAACACCGGUGGCGAAGGCGGUCUUCUAGUUUAUUCCUGACGCUGAGGCGCGAAAGCAAGGGUAGCAAACAGGAUUAGAUACCCUGGUAGUCC
rnacentral:rRNA from 1 species